GAUGAACGCUGGCGGCGUGCCUAAUACAUGCAAGUCGAGCGAACGGACGAGAAGCUUGCUUUUCUGAUGUUAGCGGCGGACGGGUGAGUAACACGUGGAUAACCUACCUAUAAGACUGGGAUAACUUCGGGAAACCGGAGCUAAUACCGGAUAAUAUUUUGAACCGCAUGGUUCAAAAGUGAAAGACGGUCUUGCUGUCACUUAUAGAUGGAUCCGCGCUGCAUUAGCUAGUUGGUAAGGUAACGGCUUACCAAGGCAACGAUGCAUAGCCGACCUGAGAGGGUGAUCGGCCACACUGGAACUGAGACACGGUCCAGACUCCUACGGGAGGCAGUAGUAGGGAAUCUUCCGCAAUGGGCGAAAGCCUGACGGAGCAACGCCGCGUGAGUGAUGAAGGUCUUCGGAUCGUAAAACUCUGUUAUUAGGGAAGAACAUAUGUGUAAGUAACUGUGCACAUCUUGACGGUACCUAAUCAGAAAGCCACGGCUAACUACGUG
rnacentral:rRNA from 1 species